rnacentral:rRNA from 1 species
GCAGUCGAGCGAGCUUGCCUAGAUGAAUUUGGUGCUUGCACCAGAUGAAACUAGAUACAAGCGAGCGGCGGACGGGUGAGUAACACGUGGGUAACCUGCCCAAGAGACUGGGAUAACACCUGGAAACAGAUGCUAAUACCGGAUAACAACACUAGACGCAUGUCUAGAGUUUAAAAGAUGGUUCUGCUAUCACUCUUGGAUGGACCUGCGGUGCAUUAGCUAGUUGGUAAGGUAACGGCUUACCAAGGCAAUGAUGCAUAGCCGAGUUGAGAGACUGAUCGGCCACAUUGGGACUGAGACACGGCCCAAACUCCUACGGGAGGCAGCAGUAGGGAAUCUUCCACAAUGGACGCAAGUCUGAUGGAGCAACGCCGCGUGAGUGAAGAAGGGUUUCGGCUCGUAAAGCUCUGUUGGUAGUGAAGAAAGAUAGAGGUAGUAACUGGCCUUUAUUUGACGGUAAUUACUUAGAAAGUCACGGCUAACUACGUGCCAGCAGCCGCGGUAAUACGUAGGUGGCAAGCGUUGUCCGGAUUUAUUGGGCGUAAAGCGAGUGCAGGCGGUUCAAUAAGUCUGAUGUGAAAGCCUUCGGCUCAACCGGAGAAUUGCAUCAGAAACUGUUGAACUUGAGUGCAGAAGAGGAGAGUGGAACUCCAUGUGUAGCG